CAUCGAGGCGUUCCUGCAAUAAAGGCUGUUGAGAAAAAUCCGACCGUGUUGUGUCUUCCUUGUCAGCCGAGGUGGGCACAACAAAUUGGUGGCCCCUAUGGGGACCCGAGGAUCUCGUGGAUUCAGAACUCUUCAGCUGGGGAAUGGCGGUACAGGAUUAUUAGACACUGGUGCAGAUUGCAGUAUUAUCUCCACUCAUGAUUGGCUGUCAAAGUGGCCCUUGCAGACAUCAUCUCAAAGCCUGCGUGAUCUGGGUUACGAGACUGCUCCUCUUGUCAGUACUAAGGAAUUAACCUGGAGAAAUGACGAAGGAUAAAGAACAUCCAAUUUGGGUACCAGAAAGGCUGACAUGAAAAUUGCUUAUCUUAAAGGAAAUUGGUCAGCCAAAGCAGAGCAGAAAGUUGCUCCUCCAGAUUGCCAAACUCAACAGCACUCGACCCGACCCUGUCACCCUGGGAGACUUCACCUCCUGGAUCACCAAUGCCUUCUCCUUUUUAAAGGAGUGGGCAGGAAUGUUGGCCUGGGGGACAGUGGUCCUCCUGGGGUGUGUCUUCUGCAUCUGGCUAUUGUGUCAACUAAAAAGAGAGUAUGCUCAACAUAAAGCAGUGGUCUACCAAGCUUUGUUGGCAAUUGAAGAUGGUGCAUCUCCCAAUAUUUGGCUGGCCUCUUUAAAAAAUUAAGAGUCCGCCCUAGGUCAUUUGGCAGUUGUAGUCACACAGAUCCAUGGUAUCCAGAGACGGGCAACUUUCCUCAUGCACAGACCAACCUAAGAGAAGGGGCCUGGAGGCCAUCAUAGGAUAACCCUAUGAUGGGUAAGGCUGUGAUACUAGAGGAUCGACCUAAGACAGGAGCCCUGGCCAUGGACAGAUUUGCCCAGGCCUAGACCAGCCUCAUUUCAUUAAAGAAAAAAGAGGGAGAUGUAGGAAGCCAACUCUAAGAUGGCGCAGGCUUUCUGUGUGCCUUUGUGGUAAACAACACCAUUGCGCAGGUGCUAGCCUGACCCCUCCUGAGCAGGUACAUGCAAAUUAGAUGCAGGCAGACUGACCAAUCCUGGGGGGCCAUGGAGCCUUCUCCUGUGCUAGGGUGUAUAUAAGCAGCCCUCCCUGGGUGCCCUGUCCCGGUAGCAGCAUCGAGGUGUUCCUGCAAUAAAGGCUGUUGAGAAGAAUCUGA